AGCUCAGUUUGGUUGUCCAUCUUUUAACAGAUUUAUUUUUUAAAUUACUCAUUGGUGGUUGAAGGGAUUUUUAUUAUAUUUUUCUGCUUCAAUAUCAGAUACUAGUGAUUGGUGUUAUUGCUUCUAUUAUGUUUGUGUCAUUUAAUGCGUCAGAUUAACUUUUUGAGGCAUGAAAUUUUCAUCAUGUAUUGUGCUGUGAAUGAACUUCGGAUAUAGUUUGCUGCGAAAGAUAAUUCUGUGCAUUUAAAACCGUUUUGCAGUCCUAAUAACAAGAUGAGCUAU
rnacentral:misc_RNA from 1 species